rnacentral:rRNA from 1 species
ACGAACGCGAACUCCAAUCAAAAGAAACCAAACACUGAA